rnacentral:rRNA from 1 species
UACGUAGGGGGCAAGCGUUGUCCGGAAUCAUUGGGCGUAAAGCGCGCGUAGGCGGCCGGACAAGUCCGGUGUGAAAGUCACAGGCUCAACCUGUGAAUGCCGCUGGAAACUGUCUGGCUAGAGUCCGGAAGGGGCGAGUGGAAUUCCUGGUGUAGCGGUGAAAUGCGCAGAUAUCAGGAGGAACACCUAUGGCGAAGGCAGCUCGCUGGGACGGUACUGACGCUGAGGCGCGAAAGCGUGGGGAGCGAACAGG